rnacentral:misc_RNA from 1 species
GAUGAAGAACGUAGCAAAAUGCGAUAAGUAAUGUGAAUUGCAGAAUUCAGUGAAUCAUCGAAUCUUUGAACGCACAUUGCGCCCGCCAGUAUUCUGGCGGGCACGCCUGUCCGAGCGUCAUUUCAACCCUCAGGCCCCCCUUCGCGGGCGGGCCUGGUGUUGGGGCCCGGCCGCUACCCUGCGGCCGUCCCCUAAAUCCAGUGGCGGCCUCGCCGUGAUCCCUUGCGUAGUAAUGCACCUCGCACCGGAGAGCGCCGUGGCCACGCCGUAAAACCCCCAAUUUUCAAUGGUUGACCUCGGAUCAGGUGGGAAUACCCGCUGAACUUAAGCAUAUCAAUAAGCGGAGGA